GUAGUCCAUGCUGUAAACGAUGAGAACUAGAUGUUAGAGGGCAUGACCUUCUAGUAUCGAAGCUAACGCGAUAAGUUCUCCGCCUGGGGAGUACGGCCGCAAGGUUAAAACUCAAAGAAAUUGACGGGGGCCCGCACAAGCGGUGGAGCAUGUGGUUUAAUUCGAUGCAACGCGAAGAACCUUACCUACCUUUGAAUCCACAGAACCUAGCAGAGAUGUUGGGGUGCCUUCGGGAACUGUGAGACAGGUGCUGCAUGGCUGUCGUCAGCUCGUGUCGUGAGAUGUUGGGUUAAGUCCCGUAACGAGCGCAACCCUUGUCCUUAGUUGCCAUCAGGUUAUGCUGGGCACUUUAAGGAGACUGCCGGUGAUAAACCGGA
rnacentral:rRNA from 1 species